CAUCGGUCCCGCGCGACGUAACCCUGCGAAUCCCGCCAGGUCCGGAAGGAAGCAACGGUAGUAGGUAAGUACGUGUGCAGCGGGUUCUCCGGUGUCC
rnacentral:SRP_RNA from 1 species